rnacentral:lncRNA from 1 species
AUCAGAACCAAGGCGUCCCGAACGCUCGGCUCCUAAAACAGUUAUCAAACCACGUCUUAGAACUCUUAUCCAUAGAAUAUGAAAUUCACAUAACACACAUCCACAAGGGCAUUCAAGAAUAAUGCGAGACCCGUUGAUCAAAGGUCAACCGUCGACUAAGUUCGACGGUAGAGUCAUAACCCCACAUAACUCAAUCUGAA